rnacentral:rRNA from 1 species
AGAGUUUGAUCCUGGCUCAGGAUGAACGCUAGCGGCAGGCCUAAUACAUGCAAGUCGAGGGGUAACAGAAAAAGCUUGCUUCUUGCUGACGACCGGCGCACGGGUGCGUAACGCGUAUGCAACCUACCCAUUACUGGGGGAUAGCCCGGGGAAACCCGGAUUAAUACCCCAUAACACCACAGGGCGGCAUUGCCUCAUGGUUAAAGAUUUAUUGGUAAUGGAUGGGCAUGCGUCUGAUUAGUUAGUUGGUGAGGUAACGGCUCACCAAGACGACGAUCAGUAGCGGGUCUGAGAGGAUGAUCCGCCACACUGGUACUGAGACACGGACCAGACUCCUACGGGAGGCAGCAGUAGGGAAUAUUGGGCAAUGGAGGCAACUCUGACCCAGCCAUGCCGCGUGAAGGAAGAAGGCCUUCUGGGUUGUAAACUUCUUUUAUACAGGAAUAAAAGACCCAUGCGUGGGGCAUUGAAUGUACUGUAUGAAUAAGCACCGGCUAACUCCGUGCCAGCAGCCGCGGUAAUACGGAGGGUGCAAGCGUUGUCCGGAUUCACUGGGUUUAAAGGGUACGUAGGCGGCUAUUUAAGUCAGUGGUGAAAUGUGUCGGCUCAACCGGCAACGUGCCAUUGAUACUGAGUAGCUGGAGUGUUGUAUAGGUGGGCGGAAUUGAUGGUGUA